rnacentral:misc_RNA from 1 species
GAUGAAGAACGUAGCGAAAUGCGAUAAGUAAUGUGAAUUGCAGAAUUCAGUGAAUCAUCGAAUCUUUGAACGCACAUUGCGCCCGCCAGUAUUCUGGCGGGCAUGCCUGUCCGAGCGUCAUUUCAACCCUCGAACCCCUCCGGGGGGUCGGCGUUGGGGACCUCGGGAGCCCCUAAGACGGGAUCCCGGCCCCGAAAUACAGUGGCGGUCUCGCCGCAGCCUCUCCUGCGCAGUAGUUUGCACAACUCGCACCGGGAGCGCGGCGCGUCCACGUCCGUAAAACACCCAACUUCUGAAAUGUUGACCUCGGAUAAGGUAGGAAUACCCGCUGAACUUAAGCAUAUCAAUAAGCGGAGGA